ACCCAGACAGGGCUCAGCUGCGGCAAGGCGGCCAUUAUCAACGUGUCCACUAUAGGGGGCUCCAUCGGGAACACCCCCAGCAUGGCCAUCUUUCCAGUCAUCUCCUACCGCUGCAGCAAGACUGCUCUGAACAUGCUCACGAGGUGCCAGUCGGUGAGAUACAAGGAAGACGGGAUCCUGUGCACUGCGCUGCAUCCGGGCUGGGUGAAAACAGAGCUGGGAACUGCCAAGGCUGCAGGCAGAGCUGACGGUGGAGGACAGCGUGCAGGGGAUUCUGAAGGUGCUCUCCACCCUCUCUGAGAAACACCAUGGGAUUGUAGUGGACUGGACAGGAAGAAAUGUACCAUGGUGAGAGCCUGGCCUACAGGAAUGAUUUCACCAGCAGUGUUCAUAGGACACUCCAGCACCCGUCUGCAUCUCGUGAAUAAACAUCUCUGCCUGAACUAGCGCUGUUACUGA
rnacentral:lncRNA from 1 species